AUAACUGACACUGAGGAAGAUUACAAGUGGUAGUCGAAAUACGCGUAGGGUAAAAAAUAUAAUUUGGACAUGUAUGUAAUUUGGACAGGCACGGCGUUGUAUGUCUUGUUCCGGAGAGCCUAUAAAAGUAGAUACUUCUCAAUAUCGAUUAUUGGAUCAAGUAGACCCUAUUCUGAUGACUUACGGUGAAAAUACGCUUAACAAUUAAGAAUUUACUUCAAAAUUAUCGAAAAUGUAAA